CAGGUAAGUGCACAAUACAUAAGCUAGGUAUACCUCCAAGUUUGUGUGCUCAGGUCGUGAGAUUGGUGCAGAAUACACAGAUCUCGUCGUUAGGUAUUCCAUCUUGGCAGACGAUACAGUGAAUAGGUUCAAUUGUUGUGGAUCUCUAUGGUCCGAAUGAGAAUGGUGUGUAUUCAGCUUUACCUCUUUCCCCCUCACCCACCUAAACGCUCUAGUCUUAGCGCUCUAACUUUGGACCAAGUGAGCUGGAGGUGUGCCUUCACGGCUAAGCUGACCCAAUGUCACCUUGACAACAGACCCAUCCUUGAACAGCAUGCCAAAUCAGAAGAACUUGUCAUACGAUUGAACUUUCUGCUCCACUGAACUGAAGUGAGAGGUGUGUCUGGUGAUUUGUUCAAUCAAUAUCAGAGGAGAGAGCGUAGUGUGUCUGGCACAAACUUUCUUGGUGUUUAACAAUUUUGUCACACACAGUGCAAGCGACACUUAAGUUGCCAAUAGCAACUAGAACAAUGUUUGGUGUUGCUUUGAUAUUGUCAAGAUAGUCACUGAGGUGGUCUUCGUGACAGCAAGGGCAGGUAAAGAAUUUCAAAGAGGCAGAGGAAAGCAUUGCUAAAGGGUUAAAACGCCCUUUUGUAAAGACAUUGCAAGUGGCGCUGAGCUCGUUCAAUGUUGAAAAGCAGGCAUAUUAUAACCAUGUUCUCCAAGUAAGUUCUUUAAUAAUAAGGCAAUACCAUUAAACUUUCUAGCCUCACAAGAGAGCUGUGCGACUACUCUCCACCUGUAAUUUCAGCUGCAAACAUUUGAACUAUUUGCGAAAUGUCAUAAGGUGUAUGACAAAUCUUCAGUCACAACAGAAGAAAUCAACA